rnacentral:rRNA from 1 species
AUGAGCCAGAUCAGAGAUGCUGCUUAUGAGGCCGAGAAUGUUAUUGAAGCUGCAGAUUACAUGAAGAAAAGAAAUAACAUAAAAAAGGGCUUCAUGGGUGCAAUUUCAAGGUAUGCUCACUUACCAAGUGAUUUGACUACCCUUCAUAAAGUUGGUGUUGAAAUUCAGCGUGUAAGAAGGAAGCUCAGUGAGAUAUUUCAGAGCGUAGAACGCUUGAAAAUCGACUUGGAUAGUGAUGUUGUGGAUGAGUCUCUAGAAGAUUAUGGUCUUAGGCACCAAACCUUCAAGGAUGAUGUUGUCAUGGUUGGUUUCGAGAACGAGUACAAAGAAAUACUGGAUAAAUUAGUUCAGGGAGGAAAAAUGAUUAGUGCUGUCUCCAUAGUUGCCAUGGGCGGGGCAGGAAAAACAACACUUGCUAGAAAAGUAUACACUUCGUCUCAAGUCAAACAACAUUUUGAGGCACUUGUUUGGGUUACUGUAUCUCAAAAGUUCAAGGUCAUUGAUUUACUAAAGGAGAUUUUGAAGCAAAUACUGAGUGACGGAGACCAGUCUAGAAUAAUUGAUGGCAUGAAUGAGUAUGAGGUGGGAAAGAAGAUCCAUGAUAUCCUUAUCAAGAAAAGAUACUUGGUAGUUCUCGAUGAUGUGUGGGAAACAGACACAUGGGAACAAAUAAAUAGAACAAUUAAGGCCUUUCCGGAUACAUCUAAUUGUAGUAGAGUACUGCUAACUACAAGAAAAGAAGAUGUUGCGAAACAUGUUGAAAUGCAAACGCAUGUACAUGCUUUGAGGAGUUUAGAUGAAGAUAAAAGUUGGUUACUUUUUAGUAGCAAAGCUUUACCAUCAUACAAAAGAUCAGGCAUACAUGAUCUGGAUAAUUUUGAAAAAUUAGGGAGAAAGCUUACAAGGAAAUGUGAUGGAUUACCACUUGCCCUUGCAGUCUUGGGGGGUUAUCUGUCAAAGAAUCUCAACACACAAGCAUGGUACGAUGUACUAUUGGGUUGGCCAGAAACCCAAGACACACGUAUGAUGCGAGGAAUAAUAGCUCGCAGUUACGAGGACCUACCAAAUCACUAUUUAAGAUCAUGUUUGCUUUAUCUUGCUGCUUUUCCCGAGGAUUUCAUAGUAUCUGUGUCAAAUCUUAUGAAUUUAUGGAUAUCAGAAGGCUUCAUUCCGCAUAGAUCUAAGCAUACACUAGAAGAAACGGCACGUAAGUAUGUAACUGAGUUGGCUCAAAGAAGCUUGGUGCAAGUUGUCAGAACAAGCAGUAUACAUGGGUGGAUUGAGGAAAUAAGGAUUCAUGAUAUCCUACGCGACUGGUGCAUAGAAAAAGCAACACAAGAUGGUUUCCUUGAUGUCAUCCAUGGAACUACUAGUGGACAAGAUGGUGCAUCAUCAUCUCAUAACCAGAUAUUCUAUCGUUCUUCUUUCCAAAACUUGAGUGGGCAGGUCUUACAGGCAUCACCUAAUCUCAGAGCUUUGUUUGGCUUUGGACUUUCAUCAGUAUCUUUUCCUGAGCUAAGGUUCCUAAGAGUUCUUCAUGUCGAGAACUCGAGGAUAGAGAAUUUCUCCGAGGUAAUUGGUGGGUGCAUUCACUUACGACACCUGAGGUUGAGAGAAUGUGGACACGUGAUGGUUCCUUCUUCAAUCAGGAAACUCCUUUAUCUGCAAACUAUACAUCUACCACGUUCCGAUGUAUCAAGCUCCCUUUGGGAUAUACCUACUCUAAGAUAUGUACAUCUUUAUUGUAUUUCUCUGCCAAGGCGUGUGCAAAUUCCACAAACCCUACGGGAGCUUCGUAUGUGGGCUACUGAUGAUGAAACUGAAAAAGACCCGAUGCCGAUCCUGGAGAAGCUUCCUUGUCUUGUGGUGCUGGAGUUGCAUGGUUAUAGACCCAGAACAAUGUCCUUUGGUGCCCAAGGGUUCCCUCGUCUGCAAGAGUUACGACUUAAGUACUGUUCCAUUAACAAGUGGAGGAUGGAGGUUGGGACAAUGCCAAAGCUGUUCUGCUUGUCAUUUGUAGAGUGCGUGCUGGAGAAUGAAAUCCCAGAUGGAUUACUGCACCUUCCAUCCCUCAGGUUCGUAUCAAUGGAUCGUGUAAAAGAUCAUUCGAAUGACAGCACGCUGGAUGGGCUGAGACACAAAGGAUGCGAGAUCAGAGGUCCUCAGCGUUACGAAUUUCUCCCCGCCGGAGAAGAAGAAUAG